CCUGACUUAGGUUUUUUCUUUGGUGAUUUCUUCUAAGCAGCAACAAGUUUUUGCUAGAUUUUAUUUAUGACUGAUCAUUUCUGGACCCUGGUCCUCGGUAUUUCUCUCCUGGUGCGAGGAAGCGCUGUGACAGCAAGUAGCCAUGCUCUGGGGUCAGCAGUGGGGUGAGCAAGGAGGAAUUUUUUUGCCUGGUAUUGCCAUGAAAGGCACGUUUAAUGUAACCCUGUCCCCACAGAGUGAUUCUGUGCAGGUGAGGCUUCAGGGAAGUACAAGGAUCUCUUCCAGUAUUACUGCUACUAGCAGUCACAUUUUUCUGUAGCAGGAUUUUCCAGGCAUAGGGAAGGUCUGUGCCUUCUGAGACCACUCAGGUAGUUCAGUGCUCCUGGGAAGAAGAGGGAUAACUGCACAGGUGCAUCGUGUUUGCAGGGACAGUGGUUUAGAGGUCUCUUCUGAAGCUGGGAGGAGGUAAGUGACCUGCCCAGAGAGAGCUAAGCCAAUAUCUGACAAGGACAUUUUCAUAACCGAGAUGAAUAAACAGAUGCCUUUUUUGCUCUAGGGGAAUAAUUUCUUCUUUGCUACUAGCCUGAGACCAUUCACUUGGCUUAGCCUGUAUCUUUACCAUAUGAAACAAGCCUGAACCAUUUCAUUUGAGGUUGUUAUUUAUUUGGGUCAAUAUAAAACAUUUCUGGCAUUUCUUUUCCAUUUUCCCGCCUUUAUAUGUUGCUGUCUUCACUCCUGUGUAUAUGUUUUCUUCUCUAAUAUCUCAGUUCUCCUCUCUUGUAAUAUUUUAAAUUCUUAAUUGCCUGAUGCUGCAAAUGGAGAGUAUUAGUUACCUUCCAUGACCACUCUGACCACAAUGACUUCCUUUGCUUGACAAGCUGAUUAAUUUGUCAAGUUGAAUGUUUAAGUCUGUCUGGAGUAUCUCUGUGUAUCUUGUGCAAGAUUGCAGUUGAAAUUUUGUUCUUUAUUGGACAUGCUGUUUUUUCAGACACAGAAUACCUCUGAGGGGCUUUUUAUCCCCCACUUCCCUACUGAGAGUGAUGCUCCUGCAGUUUAUACCAAUGAUCAUAUCCUGCAUGUCCCCUAGAAGAGGGUAAACAGCAGGUGCAGCAUGGAAACCAUAGCAUCAGCAGUGCUUUCAGAUUGUCCAGUGGAUAUAAUUGAGGGAAAAUAGCAAAACUCAAGUAAAUUAAAUGCAUUUUGUAGCAGUUCCUGAGGGAGAACAGACUGCAUUGUUUGUGAGCUUCAAUCCAGGUCAAGUAGGCCGGAUCUUCCACAGAGAAGUUGCUGACUUUGGCCCCAAAAAAUCAUUGUUAAGGAGCCAGCAGAGGCAACCCAGCUCCCAGGUCCCCCAGGAACCUCAUGGGACUGGCAAGAAAAGAAAAAAACACCUCAGGUGUGUUGGCCCCAGAAGAGGAGUUUUCAGCACGUAAUAUGUGGCCACACUGCCUGGCCUGUUUCCCAGCACUUAGUGAAAGGAAAGAGAUACAUCUUAUACAGUUGUUUCUCAUCUAAACUCCUGAGCACCUAACCAGAAAAGUCAGCACAACUUUCUCACUUACACUGAUGUCAGACUAGGGGAGUGAGUCUUGUGGCAAAAGGGACCAUCUGCAUCUCAAACUAAUUACCUGCUUUGAAAAGUGAAUAUACAAAGUGCAUUGCAGGCAGCAAAGGCAUCGCUGUGCUUUUACGAGAAAAAUCAAGAGCGCAAGAGCACAUUUUGAAGUGAAGGCACAUUGUCAAUAAUUAUGCACGGUUUGGGUUUGUGCUGCGUCGCCACUCAUCCUUGGAUCCUACACCGAGUCCUGACUUUCUUAUGGCACAGAUAAUUACUUAAAAGAAAGAAACCCAACAGAAUUUCCACGAUCUAUAUCUACAGCCUCACACAUGGAAGACAUAACAUUUGAUGGCUGGCGGCUUUGAAAAAAAUCACAGCUCCAUUGUGCUCCAAAGGCAUACUGAAUGAUUCAGAUGGAAAGAAAAGCCCACGUCAGUAGGAACAGGGGACUCAAAUUCGAGCGUCGAGGCCGACAGACCAGAGGCAUCAAUCCCAGGCAGUAGCACAUCCUGGCAAUGCUGCACCCUGUGACAGCACUGACAUUAUGGUUUCCCCUUCUCUGUUGUGGGUGUGUGGAAGGCAGGUGCUGCUCCCGGUAUUAGGGGUGUCCCUGAGCACCCCUGGCACCACAGGAAUGGCACUGAUUGCCUGGGGAUGGUGGGGCAGCAGGACAACACUCCUGUCCUAUCUGGGGAGCACAGAUCCAGCCUCUAGCAGCUGGGGGGGAGGUGAACUCACUACUUCCUCCUGGAGCAGGGCUGGCAGCAGUGGAUGUCAGGCAGGGCAGGAGGAAGGGGGUAGGGUCACCACCGAGUGACCCCUAGCAGAGGCAGAACCUCAGUGCUCCUGCGUGGAAUCAGAGCAUGAAGUGCUAGAGAUGUUGUUGCUGUCACUGAACAUCUGGUGCAAAUGCUCCCCAAAAAUAGAUAAUUUCCUUCUUCCACCUCAAAGGAAAGUGCUGGAAGGAGUCUCAGUCAUAGCUGGGCUGGUGCAAGGAAGGGCCCCUGCCAUAGGCGGGUUUACUGGCAGCCUCCUACUUGGAGACUAUUACACCUCCUGGCAUGUAACUCUUGGACCAGCCAUCAGUCCCAGGCAGGAUCCAAGGGGUUAGUCCUGUGAAAUGCCCUGACACCCACAUGGGUGCUGUGCCUCUCAGCCCCUGCCCCAGAGCACAAACCCACCAGCACUUUGCUACCGGUGGGUGACAAAGCAAACCCAAAGCCUUCAGUCCCAAAAACCUGCUGUUAAAGCUGCUCCUGUGCUGAGGGGCUCAGGCUGUGAUCAGUCCUCACCUGCAUUUCCCAGUUCCAGUUUUACAUUACAGUAGUAGUUCACAGCACCUUCCUUAUUGGCAGGCAUCAGUAGAAAUGCGUGUCAACAAAACCAAAGCGAGCGUA